AGUGAACGCUGGCGGCAGGCCUAACACAUGCAAGUCGAGCGGCAGCGCGUCCGACCACCCUCGGGUGGUCGGAUGGCGGCGAGCGGCGGACGGGUGAGGAAUGCAUCGGAAUCUGCCUCGUUGUGGGGGAUAACGUAGGGAAACUUACGCUAAUACCGCAUACGACCUACGGGUGAAAGUGGGGGACCUUCGGGCCGUCACGCGAUGAGAUGAGCCGAUGCCGGAUUAGCUAGUUGGCGGGGUAAAGGCCCACCAAGGCGACGAUCCGUAGCUGGUCUGAGAGGAUGAUCAGCCACACUGGAACUGAGACACGGUCCAGACUCCUACGGAGGCAGCAGUGGGGAAUAUUGGACAAUGGGGGCGAACCCUGAUCCAGCCAUGCCGCGUGUGUGAAG
rnacentral:rRNA from 1 species